CCCGCCGCCAUGAGGGGUGGCUGUCCCUCGCGCGGCCCCGCCGAUGAAGGUAUAUCAGCUACACUCCUUCCUCUGGCUUCAGCGCAGAUCUGCCUCCCAGAUGUGGAGACGUAAAGCUACUUCUUCCGAAGGAUUUGAAUCCUGCACUUCAGAGAGAUGCAGAAGAAGCAUCAUCACCUGGCACAAUGUUGCAGGGAGAUUGAACUAAACUGUUGCAAG
rnacentral:lncRNA from 1 species